AGCUCGUGUCGUGAGAUGUUGGGUUAAGUCCCGCAACGAGCGCAACCCCUAUUGUUAGUUGCCAUCAUUCAGUUGGGCACUCUAGCGAGACUGCCGGUAAUAAACCGGAGGAAGGUGGGAUGACGUCAAAUCAUCAUGCCCCUUAUGACCUGGGCUACACACGUGCUACAAUGGUUGGUACAACGAGUUGCGAGUCGGUGACGGCGAGCUAAUCUCUUUAAAAGCCAAUCUCAGUUCGGAUUGUAGGCUGCAACUCGCCUACAUGAAGUCGGAAUCGCUAGUAAUCGCGGAUCAAGCAACGCCGCGGUCGAAUACGUUCCCGGGCCUU
rnacentral:rRNA from 1 species